AAGCUCACCCUUUCCGAAAACAUGAUAUGCAAAAAUCAGACUUUGCAAAAUAAACAAAUUUAACAAUGCAUGCAUCCUAAGUGUGUGCUCUAUUUAUCCCUUUCUCUUUUCUUAGCAAAACCUCAUAUGUAAACUUGUUCCAACGUCACUCGAAAGUUAAGAAUUUAAGAAAUAUACUCCCAAUCACCUCCGUGUACAUACCCCUUUCGCAACACACGUAUUCGGUAUACAUUUAAUAUCAAUUUCCUACUUCGGAACUAUUAUACACUAAAACUAAUUGACCCCAUAAAAUAAUAUAAUUAAUAGUACUCAAACCAUUAAAGUUUAAAGAAAAAAAAAGAAGGUCAGUAGCAUCAUAUACUCCCUACCCAAACUAAUUCAUUUUUCUCUAUUAAAUCCCACUAGUCCAAAUACAAGAGUGGCCCACCAACAAUUAAAAAAAAAACAAGUAAUUAAAAGUAUACUCCUUAUCAUUCCACGUAUACACUUAAUCUUCUAUCACAUCACAUGUAUACACACACAUUAUUAUAUUUCUAAAUCAAUCCAUAAAUUUUGAUUAUCCAACUUAUUUGGUCAAGAAGAAUAAGAAUCUAUUAACUUUAAUAUACUCCCUGCGUAACCCGUUACAGAAAACAAAAAGAAAAGAAAAGGGUGUAACUUAAUUUACUGCCAACCAACUCUCUUCUAUCUCAAAUUCCUCUCUGUUCUUCCUCCCCCUCUCUCUCUACUGCCAUUCUUCCACAGUUCACCAAAACAUCAAGCUCAUUGUCAAAAUUACUUCACAGAAGCACCAAUUUCACAAGGGAAUUUUAAGAAUAGAUUGAAGGGGAAAGUAAGAGGACAAUUUUCACAGGUACUAAAGAUUGAGACUUUAUCAAGAAGAAUCAUUCCACUGUUUCAAAAAUUCUAUCUGGUGGACUACCGUGAGUGUAUGGAACUAUAAUAUGGAAUUAAAAAAAGGGAUACCUUUGGGAAGAAGAAAGUUUGCACCACAGAAGGUAAUCACAGCUCUCCAGUUUCUCCUUUACACUGUGGUGUUUGAUAUUUUUGGUUAUGGACUCAACAAGUAUUAGAGAUUUUCAUAUUCAAUGGAAGGAGAAGAAAUUACCUUCACGGAAGAGGAGAAAACUGCAGUAGGUUCUUUUAACCAUUCAUCUUUUAUUUUAUUUCUAAUUUUUUCAUCAAUUUUAUUAAACCAUCUUUCUUUUUCUUUGUAAAAGGGAGAGCUUAAUUCGUCAUUUAAAUAUUCCAUAUCAGGUUCAAAAUCUUUAUUAUAAGUUAUGACCAUAGUACUCCUAGUAGGGGAAUAAGGAUCUCCUAUACUUUCUUCAGUAACAGAGUUUGAUUGAGGUAUAGGGGUUUUGAAAGUCCACUUUCUUUCUGAGGUACUUGGAAUAUCAGAACAGGAGGCUCUAUUAUUUUCAUAGUUAAAACUUCUAUUGUAACUAAAAUUUGAGAAAGAAUUUGUCUUGUCGAAA